rnacentral:lncRNA from 10 species
CUUUUCGGCCGCGGCGCGUGACUGGGCUUGGUGGAGUUUCAAGAUGCUGAUGAACUUAAGGUCUGGCGCUUGAAAGAAUCAGUGAAGCUUUUCAAGUAGAGGAGGUUCUAGAUGAAUGACUGAUGAAGACACAACAGCACGGUGGUGAGGCCAUUGAAUGCUUCUAAGACUGCACUUGGCAACAUCACAAGCUGCAGAAUCCCGUGCCACAUAUGACCUGCUGUUCACCGGUUCUUGCCAGGAUCACACCUGAGAAGAGGAAGAUAAUGGAGAUGGAAGACUUGGGAUGCUCAGGGUCCUGCUAGCCUUCAAACUGCAGGACUCUGAGCAUCCCAAGUCUUACCAUGAGUUGCUAAAAGAGAACCAGACCCAUGUUUAUCCCUUUGAAAGAAACCUGAACCAAGCCAUUCCUCUGGACUGUUCUUCCAUCCACUGGACCAAUAACUCAUAGUUUGAAGGAUUUUUACUUAAUGGAAGUGAGAAAACAGCCAGAUCAAAAGAAUUUCCAGGAGCCAAGACAGAAAACAUGCAGAGCAUUAGACAGCCUAAAUGGAGCUGGCUAGAUAUGACUCCAGUUGUGACCAAGCCAUAGUGCCCCCUAAGCUGGGUGAAGAGAACGGUGCCCAUCAGGCCAGAGAGAGCUGAAAGGGCCGUGAGGAUGCUAAGCAGGGAGUCUCCAACCCCCUGGGUACAGGCAUAGCCAGUGAUGAUGCCGCCAGACCCCAGAACUGUCAUGUAGAGGAAGACCAAGCACAAGCCAGCUAAGAAGACCAUCUGCCUGCAGUAGGCUUCCCAUCCCUCAUGGCACAUGCAGAGCAGCCUUUGCAUGUUUUAAAGGUGAAAAGGAGGCCGGGCGCAGUGGCUCAUGCCUAUAAUCCCAGCACUUUGGGAGGCCGAGGCAGACGGAUCACGAGGUCAGGAGAUCGAGGCCAUCCUGGCUAACACGGUGAAACCCCGUCUCUACUAAAAAUACAAAACAUCAGCCGGGCAUGGUGGUGGGCGCCUGUAUUCCCAGCUACUCGAGAGGCUGAGGCGGGACAAUGGCGUGAAUCCGGGAGGCGGAGCUUGCAGUGAGUCGAGAUCGCGCCACUGCACUCCAGCCUGGGUGACAGAGCGAGACUCUGUCUCAAAAAAAAAAAAAAAAAAAAAAGGUGAAAAGGAAAACCUGUGUUUGUGGUCUGUUCUUCAAGGUUAAACUUGUGGUCCUUUGGCUUUUCCAAAGGCCUAGGCUUGUAGACGAAUCCAUCAUUAAUUUCCCAACAGUCCAUUUCACCCAAAACAAAAUCCAAACAAGCUUU